GUGCCAGCAGCCGCGGUAAUACAUAGGGGUCAAGCGUUGUCCGGAUUUAUUGGGCGUAAAGAGCUCGUAGGCGGUUCAACAAGUCGGUCGUAAAAGUUUAGGGCUCAACCCUAAAAUGUCGAUCGAUACUGUUGUGACUGGGAUACGGUAGAGGUGAAUGGAAUUCCGAGUGUAGCGGUGAAAUGCGUAGAUAUUCGGAGGAACGCCAAUUGCGAAGGCAGUUCACUGGACCAUUACUGACACUCAGAGGCGAAAGCUAGGGUAGCAAAAGGGAUUAGAUA
rnacentral:rRNA from 1 species